rnacentral:rRNA from 1 species
GAUGAACGCUGGCGGCGUGCCUAAUACAUGCAAGUCGAGCGAACGGACGAGAAGCUUGCUUCUCUGAUGUUAGCGGCGGACGGGUGAGUAACACGCGGAUAACCUACCUAUAAGACUGGGAUAACUUCGGGAAACCGGAGCUAAUACCGGAUAAUAUUUUGAACCGCAUGGUUCAAAAGUGAAAGACGGUCUUGCUGUCACUUAUAGAUGGAUCCGCGCUGCAUUAGCUAGUUGGUAAGGUAACGGCUUACCAAGGCAACGAUGCAUAGCCGACCUGAGAGGGUGAUCGGCCACACUGGAACUGAGACACGGUCCAGACUCCUACGGGAGGCAGCAGUAGGGAAUCUUCCGCAAUGGGCGAAAGCCUGACGGAGCAACGCCGCGUGAGUGAUGAAGGUCUUCGGAUCGUAGAACUCUGUUAUUAGGGAAGAACAUAUGUGUAAGUAACUGUGCACAUCUUGACGGUACCUAAUCAGAAAGCCACGGCUAACUACGUG